ACGGGGGGGGUAAGCGUUGUUCGGAAUUACUGGGCGUAAAGGGCUCGUAGGCGGCCAACUAAGUCAGACGUGAAAUCCCUCAGCUUAACUGGGGAACUGCGUCUGAUACUGGAUGGCUUGGAUUUGGGAGAGGAAUGCGGAAUUCCAGGUGUAGCGGUGAAAUGCGUAGAUAUCUGGAGGAACACCGGUGGCGAAGGCGGCAUUCUGGACCAAUAUUGACGCUGAGGAGCGAAAGCCAGGGGAGCAAACGGGA
rnacentral:rRNA from 1 species